rnacentral:misc_RNA from 1 species
GAAAUGCGAUACGCAAUGCGAAUUGCAGAAUUCCGCGAAUCAUCAGAUUCUUGAACGCAACUGGCGCUGGAGGGAUAUCCUUCCAGCAUGUCUGUUUCAGUGUCUGAAAACUUCCUAAUCAUUCUAAUGUGUUUGACAAAUGUUGAUGAUUAUUCAUCUUCUAGAGUCUUACAUGAAAGAUGUAUGUGUGGGUCUUUGGAUCCAUCGAAUUGGUCACUGAUUCUUCGGUGAUUUCGAUUGGAUAUUACCAAUUACUCGUAUACACAUAGAAUUUAUUUAUCUUUAUCAUCUGCAUCUGAAAUCAGGCAAGAAAACCCGCUGAACUUAA